GAUCUGGCUCUAGGUCUGGGACAACCACUGGAAACGGUGGCUAAUACCGGAUGUGCCGAGAGGUGAAAGGUUAACUGCCUAGAGAUGAGCUCGCGUCUGAUUAGCUAGUAGGUAGUGUAAUGGACUACCUAGGCGACGAUCAGUAGCUGGUCUGAGAGGACGAUCAGCCACACUGGGACUGAGACACGGCCCAGACUCCUACGGGAGGCAGCAGUGGGGAAUUUUCCGCAAUGGGCGAAAGCCUGACGGAGCAAUACCGCGUGAGGGAGGAAGGCUCUUGGGUCGUAAACCUCUUUUCUCAGGGAAGAACACAAUGACGGUACCUGAGGAAUAAGCAUCGGCUAACUCCGUGCCAGCAGCCGCGGUAAUACGGAGGAUGCAAGCGUUAUCCGGAAUGAUUGGGCGUAAAGCGUCCGCAGGUGGCAAUGUAAGUCUGCUGUUAAAGAGUCUAGCUCAACUAGAUACAAGCAGUGGAAACUACAUAGCUAGAGUACGUUCGGGGCAGAGGGAAUUCCUGGUGUAGCGGUGAAAUGCGUAGAGAUCAGGAAGAACACCGGUGGCGAAGGCGCUCUGCUAGGCCGUAACUGACACUGAGGGACGAAAGCUA
rnacentral:rRNA from 1 species